GGCCAGUGUGGUGUAGUGGUUUGAGUGUUGCACUAGGACACUGGGGUACCAGGGUUCGAAUCCCUGCUUGGCCA